rnacentral:rRNA from 1 species
UACGUAGGGGGCAAGCGUUGUCCGGAUUUAUUGGGCGUAAAGAGCGUGUAGGCGGUCAGGUAGGUCCGUUGUGAAAACUCGAGGCUCAACCUCGAGACGCCGAUGGAAACCAUCUGACUAGAGUCCGGAAGAGGAGAGUGGAAUUCCUGGUGUAGCGGUGAAAUGCGCAGAUAUCAGGAAGAACACCGGUGGCGAAGGCGGCUCUCUGGGCCUUACCUGACGCUGAGGAGCGAAAGCGUGGGUAGCGAACAGG